rnacentral:rRNA from 1 species
CAGCCUGCCAGUGACUACAAGUUCAACGGCCGCGGUAUUUUGACCGUGCAAAGGUAGCGCAAUCACUUGUCUUUUAAAUAGAGACCUGUAUGAAUGGCUAAACGAGGGCUUAACUGUCUCCCCUUUCCAGUCAGUGAAAUUGAUCUGCCCGUGCAGAAGCGGACAUAAAAAUACAAGACGAGAAGACCCUUUGGAGCUUAAGGUACAAAACUCAACCACGUCAAGCAACUUAAUAAAAAGCAAAAACUUUGUGGAACAUGAGAUUUUACCUUCGGUUGGGGCGACCACGGAGGAAAACAAAGCCUCCAAGUGGAUUGGGAAAACCUCCUAAAACCAAGAGAGACAUCUCUAAGCCACAGAACAUCUGACCAAACAUGAUCCGGCUGCCCGAAGCCGAUCAACGAACCAAGUUACCCUAGGGAUAACAGCGCAAUCCUCUCCCAGAGUCCAUAUCGACGAGGGGGUUUACGACCUCGAUGUUGGAUCAGGACAUCCUAAUGGUGCAGCCGCUAUUAAGGGUUCGUUUGUUCAACGAUUAAAGUCCUACGUGAUCUGAGUUC